GUCUUUUUGAUAAUAAUUUAAAGUCUAAUCUGCCCACUGAUAAGAUUAAAGGGCUGCAGUAAUUUGACUGUACAAAGGUAGCAUAAUCAAUAGUUUUUUAAUUGAAAACUUGUAUGAAAGAUUUAAUGAAAUAUUAACUGUCUCUUAAUUAUUAUUAAAAUUUUAUUUUUUAGUUAAAAAGCUAAAAUAAAUUUAAAAGACGAGAAGACCCUAUAGAGUUUUAUAUUAAAAAUAAUUAUUAUAUUAUAUAUAAAUUAAAUAUUAAAAUUAUAUUAAAUAUUAUAUUGGGGUGAUAAGAAAAUUAAAGAAACUUUUUUUAAUAAAUUGACAUAAAUAAAUGAUUAUAUGAUCCAUGAAUAAUGAUUAAAAGAACAAAUUACCUUAGGGAUAACAGCGUAAUAUUUUUUUUUAGCUCAAAUAAAAAAAAAAGUUUGCGACCUCGAUGUUGGAUUAAGAUAAAAUUUAAAUGCAAAAGUUUAAAAUUUUUGAUCUGUUCGAUCAUUAAAAUCUU
rnacentral:rRNA from 1 species